UACGUAGGGACCAAGCGUUGUUCGGAUUUACUGGGCGUAAAGGGCGCGUAGGCGGCAAUUCAAGUCAUCUGUGAAAUCUCCGGGCUUAACUCGGAACGGUCAAGUGAACUGUCAUGCUAGAGUGCAGAAGGGGCAAUCGGAAUUCUUGGUGUAGCGGUGAAAUGCGUAGAUAUCAAGAGGAACACUGAGGUGAAGACGGGUGCCUGGGCUGACACUGACGCUGGAGGCGCGAAGCCAGGGGAGCAAACGGG
rnacentral:rRNA from 1 species